AAGAGCCGUGUGAAGGGAGACUUUCAUGCACGGUUCUGUGAGGAGCUUGGGGUGAAAGUCCCCGGGCUUACUCGAU
rnacentral:ncRNA from 1 species